UUGUGAUAGUCUAAUUAGGAUGCGGGUUUGAAGAGCCUGAGGUAAAACUUUAGGUUUUUUGCAACAA
rnacentral:tRNA from 1 species